rnacentral:rRNA from 1 species
AUGUAAGGAUUCAAAGGUCGAACAGACCUAAACUUUGAACUUCUACACCCAAAAAUAACCCUUAAUCCAACAUCGAGGUCGCAAUCUUUCUUGUCGAUAUGAACUCUCAAAAAAAAUUACGCUGUUAUCCCUAAGGUAACUUAGUCUUAUAAUCAGUAAAACUGGAUCAAUAAUUCAAUAAUUUUUGUUUAAAAAUAAAAAGAGUUUUAUAAAUCUUCCUGUCACCCCAACAAAAUAUUUAUUUUAAUAAAAUUUAAAAAUUACUAUAAAUAAAUUAUUAUAUAAAUAUAAAGUUCUAUAGGGUCUUCUCGUCCUUUAAUUUUAUUUAAGCCUUUUAACUCAAAAGUUAAAUUAUAAUUUCAUUUAAAUUGAGACAGUCAACACCUCGUUCAAUCAUUCAUUCUAGCCCUCAAUUAAAAGACUAAUUAUUAUGCUACCUUUGCACGGUCAAAAUACCGCGGCCCUUUAAAAUAUCAGUGGGCAGAUUAGACUUUAAAUUAUUUUCUAAAAG